AUUGAACGCUGGCGGCAGGCCUAACACAUGCAAGUCGAGCGGAUGAAGGGAGCUUGCUCCUGGAUUCAGCGGCGGACGGGUGAGUAAUGCCUAGGAAUCUGCCUGGUAGUGGGGGAUAACGUCCGGAAACGGGCGCUAAUACCGCAUACGUCCUGAGGGAGAAAGUGGGGGAUCUUCAGACCUCACGCUAUCAGAUGAGCCUAGGUCGGAUUAGCUAGUCGGUGGGGUAAAGGCCUACCAAGGCGACGAUCCGUAACUGGUCUGAGAGGAUGAUCAGUCACACUGGAACUGAGACACGGUCCAGACUCCUACGGGAGGCAGCAGUGGGGAAUAUUGGACAAUGGGCGAAAGCCUGAUCCAGCCAUGCCGCGUGUGUGAAGAAGGUCUUCGGAUUGUAAAGCACUUUAAGUUGGGAGGAAGGGCAGUAAGUUAAUACCUUGCUGUUUUGACGUUACCAACAGAAUAAGCACCGGCUAACUUCGUG
rnacentral:rRNA from 1 species